rnacentral:rRNA from 1 species
AUUGAACGCUGGCGGCAGGCCUAACACAUGCAAGUCGAACGAGUGGCGGACGGGUGAGUAGUGUCUGGGAAACUGCCCGAUGGAGGGGGAUAACUACUGGAAACGGUAGCUAAUACCGCAUACCAUCGGAUGUGCCCAGAUGGGAUUAGCUAGUAGGUGGGGUAACGGCUCACCUAGGCGACGACCCCUAGCUGGUCUGAGAGGAUGACCAGCCACACUGGAACUGAGACACGGCCCAGACUCCUAGGGGAGGAAGCAGUGGGGAAUAUUGCACAAUGGGCGAAAGCCUGAUGCAGCAAUGCCGCGUGUAUGAAGAAGGCCUUCGGGUUGUAAAGUACUUUCAGCGAGGAGACGUUACUCACAGAAGAAGCACCGGCUAACUCCGUGCCAGCAGCCGCGGUAAUAC